rnacentral:rRNA from 1 species
AUAAGUAUUCCGCCUGGGGACUACGGCCGCAAGSCUAAAACUCAAAGGAAUUGACGGGGACCCGCACAAGCGGUGGAGCAUGUGGUUUAAUUCGAUGCAACGCGAAGAACCUUACCUGGUCUUGACAUCCUGCGAACUUUCUAGAGAUAGGUUGGUGCCUUCGGGAACGCAGUGACAGGUGCUGCACGGCUGUCGUCAGCUCGUGUUGUGAAAUGUUGGGUUAAGUCCCGCAACGAGCGCAACCCCUAUUGAUAGUUACCAUCAWUAAGUUGGGUACUCUAUUGAGACUGCCGCUGACAAGGCGGAGGAAGGUG